GACGAACGCUGGCGGCGUGCUUAACACAUGCAAGUCGAACGGAAAGGCCCUGCUUUUGUGGGGUGCUCGAGUGGCGAACGGGUGAGUAACACGUGAGUAACCUGCCCUUGACUUUGGGAUAACUUCAGGAAACUGGGGCUAAUACCGGAUAGGAGCUCCUGCUGCAUGGUGGGGGUUGGAAAGUUUCGGCGGUUGGGGAUGGACUCGCGGCUUAUCAGCUUGUUGGUGGGGUAGUGGCUUACCAAGGCUUUGACGGGUAGCCGGCCUGAGAGGGUGACCGGCCACAUUGGGACUGAGAUACGGCCCAGACUCCUACGGGAGGCCGCAGUGGGGAAUAUUGCACCAUGGGCGGAAGCCUGAUGCAGCAACGCCGCGUGCGGGAUGACGGCCUUCGGGUUGUAAACCGCUUUCGCCUGUGACGAAGCGUGAGUGACGGUAAUGGGUAAAGAAGCACCGGCUAACUACGUG
rnacentral:rRNA from 1 species